rnacentral:misc_RNA from 1 species
ACUGUACAGUUGCAGCAGUCACCGUGUCCAGAAGUGUGUUAGUAGUGUACUUGUUUGACUGCAAUCUAAUACGCCGUGGUUCAAUAUCCACAGAGCUCUUGGACCAGAAAGCAAGGGUAGAUGAAUCAUAUACUUCACAUCUAGUGAUGGUCUCAAGAGGAUAUAUCCUUAAUGUUCGACUAGAAUUUGGAUCAAGCAUUCGUAUACCAUCUAGGCCAACCUGACAAAGUACAUCCAUGGUACUCUGACCUCCACUUUCAGCCAAGAGCUUCACCCGGAACUUCUGCACCCAAUUUUUGACGUCUUCUUGAGCUUCCACCUUAGGGAUCGCCCUAACUACUUUCAGUGAACUCGCCGGCGACUCUUUCUUCGGAGGAAUACUUAUCGGCCUCCCAUAAUCAUCAAAAGCAGGUGCCGCCGCAGACCAGGUCGAAGACUUCGAAGCUGUACCGCGAGCUCCAUAAGGCUCAACUUUGCCACCUUGGUAAGCAUAGACUCCAUCGCCAUAACCGUCAUCAUAGCCAGAGUCAAAACGCGGUGCCGCAUCCUCCGGCCGCUUACCGUACAACUCCGAACCAAAAUCAGACCGGCUUCGACCGUAACCUCCAUAUCUAUCAUCAGCAUAUCCGCCCCCCUGAUCGAAUUUCACCGAAUUUUCAUAUGGGUUUUCA